rnacentral:rRNA from 1 species
GAAACCAACAGGGAUUGCCUUAGUAGCGGCGAGUGAAGCGGCAAAAGCUCAAAUUUGAAAUCUGGCUCUUUCAGAGUCCGAGUUGUAAUUUGAAGAAGGUAUCUUUGGGUCUGGCUCUUGUCUAUGUUUCUUGGAACAGAACGUCACAGAGGGUGAGAAUCCCGUGCGAUGAGAUGAUCCAGGCCUAUGUAAAGUUCCUUCGAAGAGUCGAGUUGUUUGGGAAUGCAGCUCUAAGUGGGUGGUAAAUUCCAUCUAAAGCUAAAUAUUGGCGAGAGACCGAUAGCGAACAAGUACAGUGAUGGAAAGAUGAAAAGAACUUUGAAAAGAGAGUGAAAAAGUACGUGAAAUUGUUGAAAGGGAAGGGCUUGAGAUCAGACUUGGUAUUUUGUAUGUUACUUCUUCGGGGGUGGCCUCUACAGUUUAUCGGGCCAGCAUCAGUUUGGGCGGUAGGAGAAUUGCGUUGGAAUGUGGCACGGCUUCGGUUGUGUGUUAUAGCCUUCGUCGAUACUGCCAGCCUAGACUGAGGACUGCGGUUUAUACCUAGGAUGUUGGCAUAAUGAUCUUAACCCGUCUUGAAACACGGACCAAGGCAUGUCCUUACAGAGAUGUAUAGUACUUGCUACAUAAUCAUUGAUCACGGCCGUCUUGAAACACGGA